GACGAACGCUGGCGGCGUGCCUAAUACAUGCAAGUAGAACGCACAGUUUAUACCGUAGCUUGCUACACCAUAGACUGUGAGUUGCGAACGGGUGAGUAACGCGUAGGUAACCUGCCUGGUAGCGGGGGAUAACUAUUGGAAACGAUAGCUAAUACCGCAUAAUAUUAAUUAUUGCAUGAUAAUUAAUUGAAAGGUGCAAUUGCACCACUACCAGAUGGACCUGCGUUGUAUUAGCUAGUAGGGGAGGUAACGGCUCACCUAGGCGACGAUACAUAGCCGACCUGAGAGGGUGAUCGGCCACACUGGGACUUAGACACGGCCCAGACUCCUACGGGAGGCAGCAGUAGGGAAUCUUCGGCAAUAGACGAAAGUCUGACCGAGCAACGCCGCGUGAGUGCAGAAGGUUUUCGGAUCGUAAAGCUCUGUUGUAAGAGAAGAACGGGUGUGGGAGUGGAAAGUUCACACUGUGACGGUAUCUUACCAGAAAGGGACGGCUAACUACGUG
rnacentral:rRNA from 1 species